rnacentral:rRNA from 1 species
CAUUAGCUAGUUGGUGAGGUAACGGCUCACCAAGGCAACGAUGCGUAGCCGACCUGAGAGGGUGAUCGGCCACACUGGGACUGAGACACGGCCCAGACUCCUACGGGAGGCAGCAGUAGGGAAUCUUCCGCAAUGGACGAAAGUCUGACGGAGCAACGCCGCGUGAGUGAUGAAGGCUUUCGGGUCGUAAAAAUAGGGGUGUUAGGGAAGAACAAGUGCUAGUUGAAUAAGCUGGCACCUGACGUACCUACC